GGGUUCCCCUCAAAAAACAAAAAAACAAACCGAUUUGCUAUAGCACAGGCGCCUGCUUUUUUGUUGAAAAGCAGGCGACCGUCGUGGCCGUCCGAUCAUGCUUGAUGAUUCGUGCAUUUUCUUUGUGUCUUUUUUCUUUUUGGUGGCUCUGACCGCUGUUUCUUUUUUCUGCCUCUGAGACUUCUUCUUCCUUCUGCCGACUGAGCUCGGAGCGACGGGAUGAGGAUGCGGGGGAAGGGGAGGAGGCCGUUCUGCUCGUCGGAGGCUGCCUCCCCGCCGCGAGCUGCCUUCCCGCGGGGGAAAGGGAUGGGGAUUUGAGUUUCCUCUUCAUUUUUAUGGUGUCCCUGUCCUCCCUCCUCUGCGCGUCCCACGCGGGUUCGGCGUCGGCGUGUCUGCUCCACCUCGACGGCGACCGCGCGGGGUGCGGGGCGUGCUGGCGCGGUCCUCCGUCGCCUCUCAAGUUCUUCCCGCCCCGCAAGGUCGCCGCGCCCGGGCGUGCGUCUGCUCUGACCCGUAGACUCUCGCAGGGACCAUAUCGGCUUCGUCGGACGAGGAGGAGAGGACCAAGUGCUGCCGUGCGGGCCGACGCUGGGCUCGUACAUCACCGUGGCCGCGAUGUGUAGAGGGCCAAACAAGAGUUCAGUUGAUCUUGAAGCAAGAAUGAUAAGGCUGAAGUCAAACAGCUAUACAACCAUCACCAUUCUGGACACUGUGACAGCUGCGACCGUGCAGUUCAAGGAGAUGGGUGGAAGCAGCAUGUCGAGAAGUAAAGCAAAUGGUGAUGCUGCCACUCCUUUAGAGCAGCAAGAUUCUCCGGACUACAGUUCUUUUCUCUACCUCCAUUUGAAAUAAGGCAUGC